rnacentral:lncRNA from 1 species
CAGUGCUUAGCAACUUAAUCAUUGUUGUUUCAUUCCUUUCUUCCCUCCCACGUUCAUUCACUCAUCCUUACUUAUUCCUCAUCCUGGGAUCAACUCAUGAGAAGUCUGGAAUCUCCCUUCUGUUCCCUCUCAGAUGCCUCUUGGAGUAUCCAUGGUGAUGGUAAAGGAGAGCUCUCAGACAGAAGGGUCCAGAAUGAUCCUGAGUCUCCUCUUCUCAGGUCAUUGCCAACUCAAAGUCUUCAAAGAGUGCAGUAUCGAAUGAUUCACAAUCACACAUCAGAAAAAAAAAAUUGUACUGCUCUGGCAAGUUCUACCAUGAUGAGAAGGUUUAAAAUUCAGUUCCAGCAAUAAACAAUAUCUGCUUUCCAGGGAUUACUCUUGCUAAGUACCCAGAAGCUCAACAAAUUGGUGAUUCAUUCUUUGGCCAUGGCAGCCCAUGAAACUUUCCUUAUUCAGGAAAGUAUAAAUAUAUUUAUUCAAAGCAAUAUUUCAUUUAAUCUUUCAAUAUACUGAAUACACAGAAGUUCUAAUUUAUUAUUAUUUUUUAAUUACGAAGCAUAACUUACUUUUAAACGCCCAAUGCUAAUCAUUCUUCUCAAUGUUCGUUUGUAUAAGUCCUUUUUCAUGCUUUGAUCACAGGUACUUUCACAUGAAAGUAUUGACUGAGCUUAACUCCCUGGUUUAAUAUUCAAACAUGGGUAUGAAAUGCAAGUAAAGUUAUUUUUUAAUUAAUUGUUACUAUUAGCUUCUAUUAAAGGAACAGCCGGUUAAAUAAACUAAUAAAUUAUAGCA